rnacentral:rRNA from 1 species
CACCGGCAGCUCAAGUGGUGGCCAUUUUUAUUGGGCCUAAAGCGUUCGUAGCCGGCCUGAUAAGUCUUUGGUGAAAUCCUACAGCUUAACUGUGGGAAUUGCUGGGGAUACUAUCAGGCUUGAGGUCGGGAGAGGUUAGCGGUACUCCCAGGGUAGGGGUGAAAUCCUAUAAUCCUGGGAGGACCACCUGUGGCGAAGGCGGCUAACUGGAACGAACCUGACGGUGAGUAACGAAAGCCAGGGGCGCGAA